AGGACGAACGCUGGCGGCGUGCUUAACACAUGCAAGUCGAGCGGUAAGGCCUCUUCGGGGGUACACGAGCGGCGAACGGGUGAGUAACACGUGAGUAAUCUGCCCUUCACUUCGGGAUAAGCUUCGGAAACGGGGUCUAAUACCGGAUACGACACUUUCAGGCAUCUGAUGAGUGUGGAAAGUUUUUUCGGUGGGGGAUGUGCUCGCGGCCUAUCAGCUUGUUGGUGGGGUAAUGGCCUACCAAGGCUUCGACGGGUAGCCGGCCUGAGAGGGUGACCGGCCACACUGGGACUGAGACACGGCCCAGACUCCUACGGGAGGCAGCAGUGGGGAAUAUUGGACAAUGGGCGGAAGCCUGAUCCAGCAACGCCGCGUGAGGGAUGACGGCCUUCGGGUUGUAAACCUCUUUCAGUACCGACGAAGCGAAGAGUGACGGUAGGUACAGAAGAAGCACCGG
rnacentral:rRNA from 1 species